GGGUAGAGCACUGGAUAGACUAGGGGGAUUCACCGUCUUACCAAAUCUAACCAAACUCCGAAUACCAACAAUUAAUUAUACAGCAGACACACUGCGGGUGCUAAGUCCGUGGUGGAAAGGGAAACAACCCAGAUCACUAUCUAAGGUCCCAAAAUUACAGCUAAGUGGGGAAGGAAGUAGAAAAACCAUUACAGCUAGGAGGUUGGCUUGGAAGCAGCCAUCCUUUAAAGAAAGCGUAACAGCUCACUUGUCUAAAUAAGUUUUUCUGCGCUGAAAAUGUACCGGGGCUAAAGCUGUAUACCGAAGAUGUGAGCGCCUAUUGAUCAAGAUCAAUAGGCGCGGUAGCGGAGCGUUCCGUAAGUCUGUGAAGGUAGUUUGAGAAGACUGCUCGAGAUAUCGGAAGUGAGAAUGCUGACAUAAGUAGCGUAAAAGAGUGUGAAAAACACUCUCACCAAAAAUCUAAGGUUUCCUACGUUAAGUUAAUCUGCGUAGGGUUAGUCGGUUCCUAAGGCGAGUCCGUAAAGGAGUAGUCGAUGGCAAUUAGGUUAAUAUUCCUAAACCUCUUAAGUGUGACGGGUUUCGUAUUUGUAUAGGUCUUAUUGGAUUGACUUAUGCUUAAAAGAAGCUCCAGGAAAUAGCACUUAUAUUUAUGAGGCCGUACCGUAAACCGACACUGGUGGAUGAGUAGAGUAUACUAAGGUGUUGAAAGAAUGAUGUUGAAGGAACUCGGCAAAUUAUACCUGUAACUUCGGAAGAAGGGUAACCUGCUUUUAGGCAACUAUUGGUAGGUGGCACAAAAUAGGGAGUAGCGACUGUUUACUAAAAACACAGGACUCUGCAAACACGUAAGUGGAAGUAUAGGGUCUGACGCCUGCCCGGUGCUGGAAGGUUAAUAGGAAGGGUGCAAGCUCUGAAUUGAAGCCCCAGUAAACGGCGGCCGUAACACUGACGGUCCUAAGGUAGCGAAAUUCCUUGUCGGGUAAGUUCCGACCCGCACGAAUGGCGUAACGAUUUCUCCACUGUCUCCAACAUCAAUUCAGCGAAAUUGAAUUCCCCGUGCAGAUGCGGGGUACCCGCGGUUAGACGAAGAGACCCCGUGCACCUUUACUAUAGCUUUACAUUGCUGUUAAAAGUGUGAUGUGCAGGAUAGGUGGGAAGCUUUGAAGUUAUGGCGCUAGCUAUAAUGGAGCUGUCAUUGAGAUACCACCCUUCACACUUUUGAUAUCUAACUAUGUUUCAUUAUCUGGAACUAGGACAUUGUAUGGUGGGUAGUUUGACUGGGGCGGUCGCCUCCUAAAAAGUAACGGAGGCGUGCGAAGGUAAGCUAGAGCUGGUCGGAAAUCAGCUUAAUAGUAUAAUGGCAUAAGCUUGCCUGACUGCAAGGCUGACAAGCCAAGCAGAGACGAAAGUCGGUCAUAGUGAUCCGGUGAUUCUGUAUGGAAGGGUCAUCGCUCAACGGAUAAAAGGUACGCCGGGGAUAACAGGCUGAUGGUGUUCAAGCGUUCAUAGCGACGACACCGUUUGGCACCUCGAUGUCGACUCAUCACAUCCUGGGGCUGGAGAAGGUCCCAAGGGUUCGGCUGUUCGCCGAUUAAAGUGAUACGUGAGUUGGGUUUAGAACGUCGUGAGACAGUUCGGUUUCUAUCUGCCGUGGGUGAAGGAAAUUUGAGAAGGUCUGACUCUAGUACGAGAGGACCGAGAUGGAUAUACCUCUGGUGUACCAGCUGUUAUGCCAAUAGCAUCGCUGGGUAGCUAUGUAUAGAUGGGAUAAUUGCUGAAAGCAUAUAAGCAAGAAACCCUCUUCAAAAAGAUUUCCCAAUUAAGGCCGUGGAAGACUACCACGUUGAUAGGCUAGGUGUGUAAGCAUGGUAACAUGUUAAGCUAACUAGUACUAAUAGCCUGAUUGAUUUAUUU
rnacentral:rRNA from 1 species